CAGGCUGCAACCCGCCUGCGUGAAGUUGGAAUCGCUAGUAAUCGCGGAUCAGCAUGCCGCGGUGAAUACGUUCCCGGGCCUUGUACACACCGCCCGUCACACCAUGAGAGUCGGGAACACCCGAAGUCCGUAGCCUAACUUUAACGAGGGGGCGCGGCCGAAGGUGGGUUCGAUAAUUGGGGUGAAGUCGUAACAAGGUAUC
rnacentral:rRNA from 1 species